AUGAUCCCGCCGGGAACGCACGGGCUGAGCCAGCCCCUCACUCCCAGACUGGAUUCAAAUCCUGGGAUCGCCCCGGGUCAUUCCCGGCUCCUCCAGGACGCGGCGGAGCCUCUGCCCCAUCCCUGGGCCCAUCCCAAUCCCGCUCCCGUCUGUCCCAGGCCGCUGCCGGCUCCGGGAGCUCCGGGAGCCGCCUCUGGAGCAGAAUUCCCGGCGCAGCUGCUUCCAGUUACGGCUCCGGCACAUGAAAGGAGCGCGGGGUUAAAUUUAGCCGGGCAGGAAAAGCCUUUUAUCCUCCUGCUUCAUCCCGGCCCCAAGCCCAUCCCGGGGCCCGGCAGCCACCGGGAAACCACAAUUCCCUCUGGGAGCGCCCCGCGGAGCCGCCGCCGCCACCUCCGGGCUGGGCACGGGACAGGGACACAGGGACAUGGGGACAGUGACAGGGACACAGGGACACAGGGACAGGGACACAGGGACACAGGGACAGGGACACAGAGACAGGGACAUGAGGACAGUGUCACGGGGACAGGGACAUGGGGACACCACCAGCGCAGGCAGCGGCGGGAGCCGGGAGCCCGCGGGAUCCGGGGAGCGGCGGGGGAGCCGCCCCGGAAUUUGUUUGGAUCCCGCUCCGCGGUUUUCCAGAGGUGCCUCCAGGUCUGCGGGAGGAGCCUCGCGCCGGGCCCGGGGUGGUGGGAAUGGAGCUGGGAGCGGCUGUGGGGUCGCUGCCACCCCUUGGGGCUCUCCCCAAAAACCCCAACGCAACCCCGCGCCCAGCAGGGGCCUGGUCAGGACCAGGGGAGGCUCUCAACUUUCCCAGUAAUUGUGAAAUCCCGCGGGGAAAGUGCGAAGAGCGGGAAUGUCCCGGGCUCCAGCACCACGGAAGUGUCAGGCCGUGUAAAGUCGGACUCGGUGAUCCCAAAUCCCGGGAUCUGGGGCCGGGGGCCAGCGGUGGCACCUCCGGAGCGCGUUCCGCCCCUCGGGGGGGUUUGGGGGCUCCGCCACCCACGGCGCGAGCGGCAUCGCCCAGGAUCCCGCGGCAGCAUUCCAAGGAAUCCGCGGCUGGCUCCGCUCCCUGUGCCCGCUCCCGUCUGCAGGUUCGCUGCGGUGGCACCAUCAGGAGGCAGCUCCAGCCGGGAUUUUCCUCACUGGAAGCAGGAAAAUCGCUCCAGCCUUUCCCACAGCAGCAGGAGGCUCCGGGAAUCCCCUCUUGGAAAAGUUCCUGACCCAGUUUGA
rnacentral:lncRNA from 1 species